rnacentral:rRNA from 1 species
UACGUAGGGUGCAGGCGUUAAUCGGAAUUACUGGGCGUAAAGCGUGCGCAGGCGGUCUUUUAAGUCAGAUGUGAAAUCCCCGGGCUCAACCUGGGAAUUGCAUUUGUGACUGCACGGCUAGAGUGUGUCAGAGGGGGGUAGAAUUCCACGUGUGAGCAGUGAAAUGCGUAGAGAUGUGGAGGAAUACCGAUGGCGAAGGCAGCCCCCUGGGAUAACACUGACGCCUCAUGCACGAAAGCGUGGGGAGCAAACAGG